UACGUAGGGUGCGAGCGUUGCCCGGAGUUAUUGGGCGUAAAGGGUGCGUAGGCGGCUUGUUAAGUCAGGGGUGAAAGACGGUAGCUUAACUAUCGCAGUGCCCUUGAUACUGAAGAGCUUGAAUAUAGUUGAGGUAGGCGGAAUGUGACAAGUAGCGGUGAAAUGCAUAGAUAUGUCACAGAACACCAAUUGCGAAGGCAGCUUACUAAGCUAUGAUUGACGCUGAGGCACGAAAGCGUGGGGAUCAAACAGG
rnacentral:rRNA from 1 species